rnacentral:rRNA from 1 species
CAGUCGCCACGGUAAUACGUAGGUGGCAAGCGUUGUCCGGAAUUAUUGGGCGUAAAGGGCUCGCAGGCGGUUUCUUAAGUCUGAUGUGAAAGCCCCCGGCUCAACCGGGGAGGGUCAUUGGAAACUGGGAAACUUGAGUGCAGAAGAGGAGAGUGGAAUUCCACGUGUAGCGGUGAAAUGCGUAGAGAUGUGGAGGAACACCAGUGGCGAAGGCGACUCUCUGGUCUGUAACUGACGCUGAGGAGCGAAAGCGUGGGGAGCGAACAGGAUUAGAGACCCGCGUAGUCCCUGUCUCUUAUAU